CCUACGGGAGGCUGCAGUUUCGAAUCAUUCACAAUGGGCGAAAGCCUGAUGGUGCGACGCCGCGUGAGGGAUGAAGGCCUUCGGGUUGUAAACCUCUGUCACCGGGGAAGAAACGCUUCACGUUAAUAGCUUGAAGCCUGACUUAACCCGGAGAGGAAGCAGUGGCUAACUCUGUGCCAGCAGCCGCGGUAAUACAGAGACUGCAAGCGUUAUUCGGAUUCACUGGGCGUAAAGGGUGCGCAGGCGGCCAAGUGUGUCAGAUGUGAAAUCCCGAGGCUUAACCUCGGAACUGCGUCUGAAACUACUUGGCUAGAGUACUGGAGAGGGUAACGGAAUUCACGGUGUAGCAGUGAAAUGCGUAGAUAUCGUGAGGAACACCAGAGGCGAAGGCGGUUACCUGGACAGUUACUGACGCUCAGGCACGAAAGCGUGGGGAGCAA
rnacentral:rRNA from 1 species